CUCAUUCUCUCUCUCUCUCCUUCUUUCCUGUUCUGAUUCUCAGGUGGGAGAAGCCUUCAUUUCCCUGAGGUGGGUUCUGAAUUGCUGCUUUGGACCAGACCCUUCUCAAGCAGAGGCUCAGAGCUGUGAAGUGCUCAGCACCGUCCCCAGCCCUUUCCUCUGGAGCUGCUCCACAAGCCAGGGCACAGCCAGGAGCCGUGCUGGGCAGAGGGAAGAUCUGGUCCGAAGAGCACCACCUCCCCUCCCUGCAGGGCGUUAACAAAGCUCUAAUGCAUACGGACGACUUUGUGUGGCUAAAAAGGAGUAAGAAUUCUGAGUCCAUGUAAAUACAUUUAUUGUAGGAGAUUUUCAUGUGAACAUUGAUGUAAAAAGACAGCUUCAGCUGAUAAAGAUUUUUUUUGUGGUCAUACUCUUAAUAAAGAGUUGUGCUGGUUUUGCACCCGUCACAAGAGUAUUUAAAGAACUGUGAGCAUUUUUUGGCAUUGUACUGACAGUGUUGAUACAAUUUCCAUGUGUUUUAUUUGUUAUUAGAGUGUUCCUUUAUUCCUGCCCCUCAGGUAGAUGUGACAACAUUACUGGCUGAUAACAGUAAUUUUCAAUUGUAAUUACAGUACCCAACCAUGACAUACAGUUUCUGCAUGAUAUGUCCUUAUAAUUCAAGGAUUUUGCAAACAGACACAACAGAUUGUGGAGCUCUUGCAGUACGUGACAGAGGAGAUGCUGUCACUCUGUGUUACUUAUUUCUGCCUCUCUUUGGCAUGGUGAUCUCUUUUACAUAAACCAAAGCGGAAAAUAUUACCCCUGUUCUUGUUAAAAAGAUUGUCCAUAUUUGUUGGUAUACAAACCUAUUGAAUGUUUGAGGGGUGAUGGGGACACAGAUCAUUAAGUUUAAACAAAGAACAGCAAUAUUUGUCAAUGUAAAGAGAAGAAAGCAUAGGAACGAAUUAUGUCUAUAUUAUGUGCUUUUGAGAAUUCCUUAUGCACCCAGAAGUCCUGAUGCUGCUGCUUCUGCUUGCCUUGAAGACCUUCAGCUGUAGAAGCUUUUUUGAAAAACCAGUGAACUUUGAAGUCUAUAAAACCAGAAAUGCACAUCUGUUUGUAUGAUAGGACCUCCCUGAAUGCUACAACUGGAUGCCAUGUGGAGAACGCUUAGCUGAACAAGGAAACAUUUCAGAUACUGAGGAGAAGGUAAAUAUUCUCUGUCCUGAAGGGCUUUUCCCCUUGGUUUAUUAGAAUUGUCCAUUUUAAACUACAGGAGCCGGGACAAUUUGCAAAAACGCAAAUAAACUUACCCACUUUCAUCUUUCCAUUCAUUGUAACCUGCCAGGCUGUGCCAGUGAAUGGCUCAGCCCCACUGAGUAUUUCAGAUUGCUCAAUGCAGUGAGCUUUUCAGUGCUUCUUAAAUGUUAGAAGUAGCUAGUGAUCAGACUGAAAGGGAUUCCUGUUGUGAAUUAGCCAGCAUCCCUAUUUUAUAGCCUGCCACUAAGGAUUGCAAUAUCGUAUUUCUCAGAUUAUUACAAGUGCAGUUGUGAGGUGGUGAGAGAAUAGCAGAGGUCAAGGGUGGAAGCUAGAUUCUAGUUCUGUUGGAGGAAGAGCUCAGUUGCAGAGUGCCAUAAUCAGAUAAUGUUCUGUAGCUGAAUUACACUGAGAUUAUGCCUUGAGGAUGAAUAUUUGAAAUAAGAGGACUUGGGUUUCCUAUACCCUUUUUUAUCUAUUAGCAGUGCUUACUAUAUGUUGAUUUCCCUAAUUGUAACUAUUUCCCAGGCCAUGACUUGACUCUCAAGUCACUCUGAUUAGUAUGAUCUUGGUCAUUGUAACAGGGGAAACUUAAAGUUUGGAAACAGCAAGAGAUACCUGCUUGUUUUUCUCAUGUUUGUGGUACUUGGUUUUGUAUUAACUGUUCUGAAGUAAUCUCUUCUCCCCUGUAUCUAAUAAAGUGAGUGAAUUACUCAACACUGAAAACACUGCAUGGAAGUAUG